rnacentral:rRNA from 2 species
CGCCGAUGGUACUGCUAACGCGGGAGAGUAGGUCGCCGCCAGUUUUUAUUUUUGAAAAGCCUUUGCAUAGUAAUGCAGAGGCUUUUUCGUUUUUAGGACUUUAUAUCGAACACACAUCGUUUCUUUCAGAGAUUAAUAGAUCUUCAAGUAUUGGAUAUUGUUUUUUUUUAUUUUUCGUCCUGUUUUUCUUUACUUUACUUAGAACGAUGCUUUUUUCUAUUCCAUCCUUUAUUACCGUAAACACAAUAAAUACUUACUGUUAGUAAAUAGUCUAUGUUCUUACCAGGCUAGAUGAAUUAUCCUAUCAAAUCAUAACUUAUAACUAUUUUGAUAGAAUAGCUAUUUAAGGUACCUACCCUUGAUAAGCAUUCUGUAUCAUAUAUACUAUAUGAAUAAUAACAAGCCUAAAUCCUAUUAACUUAUAACUCAUAACUCAUAAUUAUUUAGACAGGGUAGCUACUUAGACUACUUACCGUUAAUAAGCACUUUGUAUUAUAUAUAUUAAAUAACAAUAAGUCUAAAUCCUAUCGACUCAUAACUUUAUGAGGCCUAUGAAUUAAUAAGAAUAUCGAACACUACUUAAAAUUUGUAAGCUUAUAUUACUCUCUAUCGAUUUACUUAAGUUCUAUACUUCUAAACUUUAUCUAAAUUAUCAAACUCUUGAAUAAAUUUCCAAUUUGAACUCUUAAUAAAAAAGUAAUUUUUAUUUAUUGUUUAUAUGUUUCUCCCAAAUUAUUAUCCAGCUUCGAAAACUGGUUUUCCUGUUUUUAUAGUAUAAAUAUUGGUGUAGAGAAUUAAAAAUUACUUCUGAUAGAAUAAAAAAUAGCUUUUUAAAUAUAUUUUGGAUCAAUUGAAUUCAAUUUUCGAUGUGUAUAUAAAGAUGUUUUUAUGAUUUAUAAGAAGAGUAGUUAAGUAUAAUAUUAGAUUGGUGUUAAAUUUUUCUCACCUGUAUUCAGGCAGUUACGUAUAUUAUGUUAAAAAAUGUGUUUAGAAGUUUGGUGAGUAAUAGAAGUUUUUCUACUUUUGCAGUCCUAAACAAUGAGAGUUGUUUGGGGGAGCAGGAGAUAAUUGAGACUAUAAAAUCGAUUAAAAUUUUUUAGAAAAAAGAUUUGGUCAUGUUAAUAAAAUUUAUUAGUUUUGCCCACGC